UUACCUACGGGGGGCAGCAGUGGGGAAUUUUGCGCAAUGCUCGUAAGAGUGACGCAGCGACGCCGCGUGAGGGAUGAAGGUCUUCGGAUCGUAAACCUCUGUCAGCAGGGAAGAACGGUCACUGUGCUAAUCAGCAGUGAAUUGACGGUACCUGCAAAGGAAGCACCGGCUAACUCCGUGCCAGCAGCCGCGGUAAUACGGAGGGUGCGAGCGUUAAUCGGAAUUACUGGGCGUAAAGCGCUCGUAGGCGGUAUGUCAAGUCAAGGGGGAAAUCCCCGCG
rnacentral:rRNA from 1 species